AAGAGAUCAGAUAACGCACGUCAGUUGUGAAACAUUUUACUGCCGGCAAUAUAUUGUACGACUAGAUGGUUGCUGGUAUAUUGUACGACUAGAGAAAUGCUGGCAACAAAUGUCUAUUGUAGCGUAGUCAUAGUAUCUAGCGUAUAGUCUCUUAACAAACAGUACUAAGUCACAGCCAGGUGCGGCCCGGUCCACUUGGCUUCUUACUCUGGCUCAGUCAGCAGAUUAGACAUGUUAGAGGGCCUUUCAUUCUGUUUAGGACCCUAAUCCAAGAACCUUGAUCCGAUGGGCAUGGAAUCAAGGAGUCUGGCGCUUCUACAACCAUAAGGCAAGACAUCAAACGCUACAACGUUGUUGCUAAUGGUAAAAGUCAUUCAAAACAACCACUCUCAAACUAGUUUUGUGUUUGCUUGAUGUUGUUCGAUGGUGUUUUGUACUGCCGAGCGCAUGUAGGCCGUUUGUGCGUGUUGGUUCGUCGCUGUGUGAGAGCACUAGCAUGACGUUUCAGCACACAACUAGGUCGAACAAUACGCGGGUAUAGGUGUAUACGUGUGUCGCUUUCCACCGUGCAGGCAGGCAUUUGCCGAUAUGGCGGGGAAAUGUUACCGCCUCUGCCCGACUUCCUGCCGCCAUCUUUUAUCACGGAAGCAAAGCGCACGGUUUCCUGCACCAGGAUGCAGGACAAUUGCGGUGAACAUCUGCUCGCCGUUCGAUACACAUCCUCGCACACACUCGCACACCAACACUGCACAACGCAUCGAACGGCGUAGGAAAUAAGCAGAUCAGCACACGCAGAAGCCACCACCGAGCAGUGGUAGUAGGUCAUGUGUGCAAUCGCUCACCUCGCGACAUGACACAGUUGCGCACCACCGUACACACUUACCCACCACUAGCCUAGCAAUCCGAUGUGCCCUUCGCCAUCUUUUCUUCGCUCGAUAAAUGGGCACAACAUCAAAAAAGGGCAAGAUAAAGCAAAA